rnacentral:rRNA from 1 species
CCAGACUCCUACGGGAGGCAGCAGUGAGGAAUAUUGGUCAAUGGGCGAGAGCCUGAACCAGCCAAGUCGCGUGAGGGAGUACUGCCCUAUGGGUUGUAAACCUCUUUUGUCGGGGAGCAAAAGCCGGACGUGUCCGGCUGUGAGAGUACCCGAAGAAAAAGCAUCGGCUAACUCCGUGCCAGCAGCCGCGGUAAUACGGAGGAUGCGAGCGUUAUCCGGAUUUAUUGGGUUUAAAGGGUGCGCAGGCGGAUUUUUAAGUCAGCGGUCAAAUCGUGGGGCUCAACCCCAUCCAGCCGUUGAAACUGGGGAUCUAGAGUGUGCGAGAGGUAUGCGGAAUGCGUGGUGUAGCGGUGAAAUGCAUAGAUAUCACGCAGAACCCCGAUUGCGAAGGCAGCAUACCGGUGCACAACUGACGCUCAGGCACGAAAGCGUGGGUAUCGAACAGGAUUAGAUACCCCAGUA